CUUGCUUCUCUUGAGAGCGGCGGACGGGUGAGUAAUGCCUAGGAAUCUGCCUGGUAGUGGGGGAUAACGUCCGGAAACGGACGCUAAUACCGCAUACGUCCUACGGGAGAAAGCAGGGGACCUUCGGGCCUUGCGCUAUCAGAUGAGCCUAGGUCGGAUUAGCUAGUUGGUGGGGUAAUGGCUCACCAAGGCGACGAUCCGUAACUGGUCUGAGAGGAUGAUCAGUCACACUGGAACUGAGACACGGUCCAGACUCCUACGGGAGGCAGCAGUGGGGAAUAUUGGACAAUGGGCGAAAGCCUGAUCCAGCCAUGCCGCGUGUGUGAAGAAGGUCUUCGGAUUGUAAAGCACUUUAAGUUGGGAGGAAGGGCAGUAAAUUAAUACUUUGCUGUUUUGACGUUACCGACAGAAUAAGCACCGGCUAACUCUGUGCCAGCAGCCGCGGUAAUACAGAGGGUGCAAGCGUUAAUCGGAAUUACUGGGCGUAAAGCGCGCGUAGGUGGUUCGUUAAGUUGGAUGUGAAAUCCCCGGGCUCAACCUGGGAACUGCAUUCAAAACUGACGAGCUAGAGUAUGGUAGAGGGUGGUGGAAUUUCCUGUGUAGCGGUGAAAUGCGUAGAUAUAGGAAGGAACACCAGUGGCGAAGCGACCACCUGGACUGAUACUGACACUGAGGUGCGAAAGCGUGGGGAGCAAACAG
rnacentral:rRNA from 1 species